AAAUUGUUAGGAGGAUGUCCUUGGAGACGAGGGGGGUGGGCAGGGUCAUUGACUUUGUGACUGGUGUAUAAAUGAAUCAGUCAGAUUCAGUUGUCUACAGAGCUUUUACCUACAUCAGCAUCAACAGUGACCUUGUUUUUUUAAGGAUGAUGAGAUCGACCACGAUGUUCCUCUUGUUGACUCUCCUGGGACUGGCAUGCUCUAUUGGCCCUACAGUCCCAAGUGUGCUGUGAUCUCCUCUAUCCCAGCUGGCACUUCUAGCACCUUCCAGUGUCCGGGCAUGGAGGGUCGAUAUGUCAUCGUGGUCAUUCCAGGGAGGAAGGAGUACCUGACCUUGUGUGAGGUGGAGGUGUACGGAUCACCCCUGGAUGGGACUGGGCCUACAUGUAACUAAAUCAGAUCGUUAACUCUUAACAGCACCCUGCAAUGUUUGGGGAAUGUAUUGUCUUACGAAAAACAAUUAAUGUUUUUUAGUAUACUUCCAGUAUGUUAAUUAUCAAAAAUGUGUAUUUACUUUCAGUAAACAAAAACAAAUUUGGUCCCCUGUUCUGGAAGUUCUUCUUGCACACUGUUUUUGGAAGUUUGGGUAUAAAUUGGCCAACAUUUUGUGUAACACAAAAAUAUUCAUACAUUUUUUGUUGCCUAAUUAUUGGUUAGAUGGUUCUCAUUCAUACUUAGAAAUACAUAUAAUGCUGUAAUACUAUUGCUAUUAUGCUAAAAUGAAUUAAAGGUGAAAUCUUGGAAUCUGGAAUGUUUCCAUUAUGUA